rnacentral:rRNA from 1 species
AGAGCGAACGCUGGCGGCAGGCUUAACACAUGCAAGUCGAGCGGGCGUAGCAAUACGUCAGCGGCAGACGGGUGAGUAACGCGUGGGAACAUACCUUUUGGUUCGGAACAACCCAGGGAAACUUGGGCUAAUACCGGAUAAGCCCUUACGGGGAAAGAUUUAUCGCCGAAAAAUUGGCCCGCGUCUGAUUAGCUAGUUGGUGAGGUAACGGCUCACCAAGGCGACGAUCAGUAGCUGGUCUGAGAGGAUGAUCAGCCACAUUGGGACUGAGACACGGCCCAAACUCCUACGGGAGGCAGCAGUGGGGAAUAUUGGACAAUGGGCGCAAGCCUGAUCCAGCCAUGCCGCGUGAGUGAUGAAGGCCCUAGGGUUGUAAAGCUCUUUUGUGCGGGAAGAUAAUGACGUACCGCAAGAUAAGCCCCGGCUAACUUCGCGCAGCAGCCGC